UUUCCGUAGGUGAACCUGCGGAAGGAUCAUUAAAGAGUAAGGGUCUUCGGGCCCGAUCUCCAACCCUUUGUCUAACUACCAUGUUGCUUUGGCGGGCCCGUCUCACGACCGCCGGAAGUUUGGCUUCAACCAAACUUCUGGCCCGUGCCCGUCAGUGGCUCCUUCAAAUUCUUGAUCAAGUAUGAUGUCUUAGUUAAAAACUUAAUAGUUAAAACUUUCAACAACGGAUCUCUUGGUUCUG
rnacentral:misc_RNA from 1 species